rnacentral:tRNA from 1 species
AGGGGUAUAGCCAAGUGGUAAGGCAACGGGUUUUGAUCCCGUCAUGCGCUGGUUCGAGCCCAGCUACCCCUGCCA